rnacentral:rRNA from 1 species
UACGGGGGGGGCAAGCGUUGUUCGGAAUUACUGGGCGUAAAGGGCUCGUAGGCGGCCAAUUAAGUCAGACGUGAAAUCCCUCGGCUUAACCGGGGAACUGCGUCUGAUACUGGAUGGCUAGAGAUUGGGAGAGGGAUGCGGAAUUCCAGGUGUAGCGGUGAAAUGCGUAGAUAUCAGGAGGAACACCGGUGGCGAAGGCGGUUCUCUGGGCAUUACCUGACGCUGAGGAGCGAAAGUGUGGGGAGCGAACAGG